UACGUAGGGUGCAAGCGUUAAUCGGAAUUACUGGGCGUAAAGCGUGCGCAGGCGGUGAUGUAAGACAGGUGUGAAAUCCCCGGGCUACCUGGGAACUGCAUUUGUGACUGCAUCGCUGGAGUGCGGCAGAGGGGGAUGGAAUUCCGCGUGUAGCAGUGAAAUGCGUAGAUAUGCGGAGGAACACCGAUGGCGAAGGCAAUCCCCUGGGCCUGCACUGACGCUCAUGCACGAAAGCGUGGGGAGCAAACAGG
rnacentral:rRNA from 1 species